CGGAAGUACACUUAGGACCGUGGUGAUUGGCGCCAUCUUUUGGCGAAGCGGUAAAGGGAGAUAACUGAGGAAUGUUCCCCAUUAAAGUGUCCGAUU